rnacentral:tRNA from 1 species
GGGCGCGUAGCUCAGCGGGAGAGCGCUUGACUCACAUUCAAGAGGUCGCAGGUUCGAACCCUGCCGCGCCCA